UUCCGUGAAUUCUACCACCAUCUCUCCUCUAGUUUUCCUAGAAUCAAUGCCGUAGUUGCGAAUUGCUUGUUCACCAGCCUGCUUUUUCCCCACUUUUGCGUUGAAGUCGCCCAUGACUACAGUAUACUGAGUUUGCACCUUUCUGAUCACUAAUUCUAAAUCUUCAUAAAACUGUUCUAUUUCUUCAUCAUCGUGACUGGAGGUUGGAGCGUAGGCUUGUACUACUUUUAUUCUAUACCUCCUAUUCAGCUUUAUUAUGACUACUGCUGUAGAAUUCAUUAAUGUUGCCCGCUAUGUCCUUAUGGAUUUGAAAUCCUACCCCGUAUUCUCUCUUAUCUGGAAGACCUCUGUAGCAGAGAAUGUGGCCUUUGGUCAGCAGUGUAUAAGCCGCACCAGUUCUUCUAACCUCACUAAGGCCAAUAAUAUCCCAGGCAAUGCCUGAUAAUUCCUCAAACAGCCCUGCUAAACUAGCCUCACUCAAGAGCGUUCGCGUGUUGAACAUUGCUAAGUCCAGUUUCCAGUGGCGGCCUGUCCGGAUCCAGAGAUUCUUGGCACCCUCUGCCGGGUAGCAGGAUUGACCGCUGCCUUGGUCAGGUGCUCCGCAGCCGCUGGGGACUGAGGGCCAUGGGUUAAUUGCAGGGGUCAUGAGGGAGGUAGUGGCCAAAUACUGCACCAGGCAGGCCAAUUCCUGUUCUGGUGAGGGAGUGCCUUUGUUAAAGCUUAGUGGGCCUUCCUAAUUUGAUUACACCUGGACUAGUAUAGCCCCACUAGCGCUCGGCAAUUUUUUUUUUUUUUUUUUUUUGCCGGUUCAGGCGCAACUCCGUGCCUGAAAAUGUAGUGGACCGGAGGAGGAUUCGAACCUAUUACCUUCACAUUAGAAGCCCAGUGUUCUACCUCUGCUGCACGCCACCACUCGGUGAUAUAUAUAGAAUGGCUGCUAGGAACUACCCAACGUGUGCUAAUAUGCUGUCACACUCUAUCAAAACAGUGGCAGAUAGACUAACAAAACUGCCGCUUGAGCAUCAUUUGCAACUCAGAAAAUACUAGAAACCAUUGAUUCCGCCAAUCCCUGUGUAAGCAGCUGCAUCUUUCCCUGAGGUGGCACGAAGAAGCAAGUUUCAUACCCGUGAUCUCAUCGACCAGCUUUCUUCAUGGGAGUCCUAGAUGUCAGUAGAAGAUUGCAGCAAAAUAUUCCAGGGUGAAAAUCAAGCCUCUCCGGUUAGCAGAAAUGGUGGGUCUCCUAAUCAAAACAUGGCUCCAGGGCCGACAAUGAGCUCUUUGUGGUACCCCAGCCACAGUUCAGUUGUAAUUCCAAUUGGUAACUUUUGAAAUCACCAGAUAAGUUUUUUUUGUGUGUGUAUGUUGUGACAAUGGUAUAGUUUUUGCAGCCAUGAUUUAGGCAAAAUAAGUCUUUUAAAACAGUGGUCACUAGAAAGAUUUAUUCAAGAGAGCAUUGUAAAUGCACCUUCGCUGCCUUUUAAGCUUACAAUUCCUGUUCAUUCCCUGCGCUGUUUGCUUUAUUUUAAAAUUAAGUGGACUAUAUUAAGUGAUGCUCUCCGAAAAGCUAAUUGGUCCCUUUAGCCAUUUUAUAAACAUUAAUUACCAUUUUAACUAAGACAAUUCUAUUUUUUGUGGCAUUGAUAAUUAAGAUUUCUGAGUUCUCUGUAAAGAAGUUGCAUUUACUAAGGACCCCACUGUAUUAUUCAUGUUCAUGGCAAGCAUACUGAAUCACAUUUGUAUUUAUGAAAUAAACUGCAUUUU